CAUCACAUAUCUGGGGACAGAUAUAGUGUACAUGAGAAUCAAUAGCACCAGCCGUAAAUAUCAAGCCUUCACCUGCCAAUGCCUCGGUACUGGCUCCAACUACCAUUCCUGGAGUAACGCUGUCCAUGACAUCUGGAUUUCCGGCCUUACCGAUGCCAACAAAGAUUCCAUUCUUGAUACCAAUAUCGGCCUUGUAGAUACCCGAGUGAUCAACAAUGACAGCAUUUGUGAUCACAAGAUCCAGCACGUCCUUGUCACACAUACCCGUUGCUUGGCCCAUACCUUCUCUCAAG
rnacentral:sRNA from 1 species